rnacentral:misc_RNA from 1 species
GCGGUCUGGAAACAUGGGGCUUUUGAAAACUGAGAGGAAAAGGAAAACGAAAAAUUGGAAAAUCGUUAUGGCUGAGCACUGAACCAGAGAAAAGCAUACCCUGCGCUGAGAUUUCAGAAUUGCAGUUGCACAUCCAUUACCUGAAUGACUAACGCCAUUAAAAUGGGCGAAGCUCGCAAACUGAAAGAGCAAAACCGUCAAGACAACAAGAUUCGACAGAUCCUAAUGAACCUCGCUAAAUUCGCUAUCGAUUCUACAGCCAACGGCGCUCUCAAAGGCGUCACUGGUCCAAAGAAGUUUUAUAAGUUUGUGCAGGAGAGAUUGCAGAAUCCACCAACUUCACUUCCCUUAAAUAACUGUAAGAAACCUGCAGAUGUUAAAUUAGUGGAGGAGAUGCAAAUAAAAGUAGAAGAAAUGCUGGAAGACAUGGCAAAGUUAAAACAACAAAAUGAGACAUCAGCCAAAUGCAUGGAGGGAACAAAACCUGUGAAGAAGGAACCAAAUGAAGGCAGCAGAAAGUUAGAUGUUUUGGACCCUGAGAAGAAGAUAAUUUUUAUUCGUUCUCGGCUUUAGAAUGGGGCCAACCUUAAUGACCUCAAUGCCUGAAACUUAAAAUGGCCAAAAUAACUGCAUUCUAUGUCUUUCUUAAUAGUGUCGUGGAUAAACAAUGCUUAUUAGCUGUACCAUUAUGUUAAGUUAAUAGCUUUUUACUGUAUAUGGGUAUUGGUUUUUCCAUUAAUGCUUCCUCU